GAGUUGAGUUGAGUUUUUUGGAAAGGACCUUUACAGGCUUACUAAAAUUAGAAACCGUUUGUCUUGGGUACAGUAGGGGUGACCCGCUCCGUCACAUGGAUUUAUAGAAUGAAUAUAUGCACCGCACCGGUAAUAUGAUCCACUAGCCUAUCACCCAAUGUCGUCCAAGGUAUCAAAGUUUCUCUCUUUCUUUCUCGACCCGCCCCCUUU
rnacentral:lncRNA from 1 species